AGAAGGUGCAGUUUUUUGGUGUGUGGAAAAAAGCUGCUGAAACCCUCAGUAGGAAUGGACAAAGGCUCUCAGUAUCCUACGUGUGCUGCCUUCAUUGUUCCCCUCUUCAUCUGCUCCUCUGAAGAAGUUAGGACAUGUGAGUGAGGCUCUUGUGCAUGUCCUCGAGGAAAAAGAAGACCCCAAUGACUAUCUGAAGAAACGUCGUCUCUCCUGCCCAGUCCUUAUUGUGAGUUUGUCCAACUGCCUCCUGGCUGUAGGAGAUGUGCUGAUAACUACGCUCCCAAAAGACAAGGUAACACAGGGUGUUUUAUACCUUACGGCCUACUAUUAUGCUCUACACCUUACUUACCCCAGGUGCGUAGCCACUCUGCUCUCUGUCAUAAAAACGGAGGUUCUCUUGGACACAAUCCAUGAGCGAGACCUCACACCAUCUUUCAAGAAGGGCAUGGCUGACUGGAAAGCCUUUGUUGGCAAGUAAAGCCGUUUCCAUUCUUAUUUAGCAAAUGUUUCCCAAUGUUAAGGUCGCAAUAAUAACAAUGUUGUUGAUCUAUUGAGGGACACAGUGGUCAAAUAUUUAUGUUAAUGUUAGCCCAAGACCCAUAACUUGUUGCAAUAAUAAGCACAUUGUAAGUGUAUUGAGGAGACAGAGGUCAGAUGAUUAUGUCUGACUGUAAUCCAUGUGUUACACAUAUAUGUCAUGUUUUGCUAUGUUUUUUUACUAUUAUUAGUAUUUUAUUACAGUGCCAUACACACUGCGCCAAAACAUGACUGGUGCUGCAGGCACAGUGUAACUGACUAACUGCACUGUAUUGUAAGAAUUGUUUGCUCCCUCCUGCAUUUCAGAGCUAAAGAGGCAUGCUCUUUCUUAUGCAAAUAAAAUAUUUGUUUGUUUAAUGCA